rnacentral:rRNA from 1 species
CCUACGGGAGGCAGCAGUGGGGAAUAUUGCACAAUGGGCGCAAGCCUGAUGCAGCCAUGCCGCGUGUAUGAAGAAGGCCUUCGGGUUGUAAAGUACUUUCAGCGAGGAGGAAGGCGAUAAGGUUAAUAACCUUGUCGAUUGACGUUACUCGCAGAAGAAGCACCGGCUAACUCCGUGCUAGCAGCCGCGGUAAU